rnacentral:lncRNA from 1 species
AAUUAUUGUGACUGGACCAUCUUUCUUACCCCUUUGUUUACGUUGAUACAUAAAGGCUCAUGCCUUCUUUAAGCUUAGCAGCACAUUGUUUUGUUGUCUUCCCCAUCCCCCUUAUAGCUGCCUAACUAGGUUUUUAGGUUGGGCUUAUGGCAAAACAUAGGGUCGAUGGCCACCCACCCCAGCAAUCCUCACUCCUCUCUCUUUCCCAUUAUUAAAAGGAAACUGAUA